rnacentral:siRNA from 1 species
AGGGUUGUUUCCGUUUCUCGGUGA